CCAAGUGGCGUCUCAAUUGUCAAAGUGACGAAGACGAAGGUCUAGAAUGCGCGUCCCCGUACCCCUUGCCAUCAAGUAAGGUGAGGGACCUCCCUAGCCGACCAAGGGGUUCGGCCAACGGUCAUGACAUUCGAUCAUCAUCGGCGCGUGCUGGGUCAUAAACUGUUAUUAUUGUCCGGACACCAAAGCUGCGAAAAUGACCGACCGCGUCUCACAUAAAUGGACAGGAGAGCAGACUCGCCUUCUUAUCAAGUACAGGAGUGAGAAUGAGAAGUUGUUCACCAAAUCAAAGAUGGCAGCCAAGAUGCAGUGGCAGGUUUUUGUGAAGAACGCAGGCCUAGAGGGAAAGGUCACCGGGGUGCAGGCUUCAAAGAAGUGGGAAAACCUCAAGCAAAAAUACAAGGAGGUGAGAACACCCAAGACAGG